CAAACUUCUCACUUUGCCACCAAAGCCCU
rnacentral:piRNA from 1 species